GGAAGGCCUGCUCCCGCGUGAGGCCGCGGUGACGCAUGAGGUAGGCGGUGCAGACGGCGGCCGAGCGGCUGCGGCCGUUCUUGCAGUAGACGAGGCAGGCUCCACCGGCGCGCACCGCGGCCUCCAUGGCGGCACAGGUCCAGACAUCACCUACGUAGAGGCCUUCUCAGCAUCCAUUUCCCUCUUCAGUGGCCUAAGGAAGGAGUCUGACUUUCCUGGGAUGGGAUUACCAUUUUCCCCAGAGUUCACGGGAGCCAUCCAAGUAGGUGGAGAUUUCCUGUCCCCCAGCUCCAGAAUCGGGCUUCUGCUUACAUCCAGUCAGUGACGCCUCUACCCCCAUGAUUGCUUCAGGAAAGGGCUUGGGCUGCCAUAUGAACCAAAGAGGAGAGAGGGGCUUGGAAACCUCUGUCCUCUCCUUAUGACCACAAAGGGAAGCCAGCCUUGGUUGAAAGCACAGCUGAAGAAACGGUCCUCGAAGAUAUUGUUGGGCCACUGAAUCAAACCAAACCUGAAGAGCCUCCAACUUCUGGACUGUUUGGUUUCCUGAGCCAUCCAAUCACCCUUUACUGUUGGAUAUUUGAGGUGGAUUUUCUGUUCCAAGGCCUCUUAACUGAUAACCUCACGCUGUUUCACCACAUUGAGUUAAUGAAUCGUCGACACCACCUGCCCACCACACCAUGGCCCAGUGGUUUUCAAAGCGUGGUCCAGAUUUCAGCAGCAUCUGGGAACUUGGUAGCAAUGCACAUUCUCAGGAGUCCACUACUCAGGACCUGCUGAACCGGAAACUCUGGGAGUGAGACACAGGAAGCUGUGUGUUACCAUGCCCCCCAUGUGAUUCUGAUAAAAGAUAAAAACCUAACCAUCA